rnacentral:rRNA from 1 species
CUAGGCCAGUAAUUUUGUUAAAAAAAUUUGAAUAGUUUGGAAAUGCUAACCAUAGAGGGUGAUAGUCCCGUAUGAGUAAUGUUUAACAAAAUUCUUGAGUAAAGCGGGACACGAGAAAUCUUGCUCGAAUAUAGGGGGACCACCCUCUAAGCCUAAAUACUCUUCAGUGACCGAUAGUGAACUAGUACCGUGAGGGAAAGGUGAAAAGAACCCCUAUUAGGGGAGUGAAAUAGAACCUGAAACUGCAUGCCUACAAUCAGUCCGAGCCUUUUUUAGGGUGAGGGCGUACCUUUUGUAUAAUGGGUCAGUGACUUAAUUUAUUAAGCAAGCUUAAGCCAUCUAGGUGUAGGCGCAGCGAAAGCAAGUCUUAAUAGGGCGAUUAGUUUAAUGAAUUAGACCCGAAAACGAAUGAGCUUACCAUGAGCAGGUUGAAAGUUGGGUAACACCAACCGGAGGACCGAACCAGUUGACGUUGAAAAGUCUUUGGAUGACUUGUGGUAAGGGGUGAAAGGCCAACCAAAUUCGUAGAUAGCUGGUUUUCCGCGAAAACUAUUUAGGUAGUGCGUUGAAUAAAUAGAUGUUUAGAGGUAGAGCACUAAAUGGGCUAGGGGGAAGAGAUUCUUACCAAACCUAAUAAAACUCCGAAUGCUAGACAUUGUUCUUCAACAGACAGACUGUGGGUGCUAAGGUCCAUGGUCGAGAGGGAAAGAGCCCAGACCACCAGAUAAGGUCCCAAAAUUAUGAUUAAGUGUGAAAGGAUGUGGAAAUUCCUUAACAGCCGGGAGGUUGGCUUAGAAGCAGCCAUCCUUUAAAGAUAGCGUAACAGCUCACCGGUCUAAUAGAGUUUCUGCGCCGAAGAUGUAACGGGGCUAAAAUCAUAUACCGAAUCUGUGGGUUUAUAAAACUUUCGAGUUUUAUAAGCGGUAGCGGAACGUUCUGUAAGCCUGUGAAGGGAUACCCGUGAGGGAUCCUGGAGGUAUCAGAAGUGCGAAUGCUGACAUAAGUAACGAUAAAAGAAGUGAAAAACUUCUUCGCCGAAAAUCUAAGGGUUUCUGCGCAAGGUUAAUCCGCGCAGAGUUAGUCGGCACCUAAGGCGAGGGCGAAAGCCGUAGUCGAUGGAAACAAGGUUAAUAUUCCUUGACCUGAUGGUAGUGACGGAUCUUGUAAGUUGUGAGUUCUUAAUGGAUUGAACUUGCCGCGAAAGGGUUCCAAGAAAUAGCUCCAUCAUUAAGACCGUACCCGAAACCGACACAGGUAGAUUAAUAGAGUAUAUUUAGGCGCUUGAGAGAAUGAUGUUGAAGGAACUCGGCAAAAUGCUUCCGUAACUUCGGGAUAAGGAAGACCUGUUUUUAGGCAACUAGAGAUGGGUGGCACAAGCCAGGGAGAAGCGACUGUUUAUCAAAAACACAGGGCUCUGCUAACACGUAAGUGGAUGUAUAGGGUCUGACGCCUGCCCGGUGCUGGAAGGUUAAUGCGGUUGGUGCAAGCUAACUUCUGAAGCCCCAGUAAACGGCGGCCGUAACUAUAACGGUCCUAAGGUAGCGAAAUUCCUUGUCGGGUAAGUUCCGACCUGCAUGAAUGGCGUAACGAUUUCUCCGCUGUCUCCAACAUCAACUCAGUGAAAUUGAAUUCUCCGUGAAGAUGCGGAGUUCGCGUAGUUAGACGGAAAGACCCCGUGCACCUUUACUGCAACUUUACAUUGGUGUUAGGAAAAACAUAUUUAGCAUAGGAGGGAGACAUUGAAGCGAAAGCGUCAGCUUUUGUGGAGUCACCAGUGAAAUACCUCUUUUGUUUUUCUUGACAUCUAACCGAUUGCCGUCAUCCGGCAUCGAGACAUUGUAUGGUGGGUAGUUUGACUGGGGCGGUCGCCUCCCAAAUAGUAACGGAGGCGUGCGAAGGUAGGCUCAGAACGGUCAGAAAUCGUUCGUAGAGUGCAAUGGCAUAAGCCUGCCUGACUGUGAGACUGACAAGUCGAGCAGAGACGAAAGUCGGUCAUAGUGAUCCGGUGGUUCUGAGUGGAAGGGCCAUCGCUCAACGGAUAAAAGGUACGCCGGGGAUAACAGGCUGAUACUGCCCAAGAGCUCAUAUCGACGGCAGUGUUUGGCACCUCGAUGUCGGCUCAUCACAUCCUGGGGCUGGAGCAG